rnacentral:lncRNA from 1 species
GAGUUUCUGAUUCAAUAGGUCUGGAUUCAGUCUGAGACUCUGUAUGUCUAACCCAUUCCCAGGUUAUGCUAAUUGUACCGGUUCAGGGACCACAGUUUGAGAAAUACUCUUAAGAACCUCAAAGGUAUAAAACCAAACCUGGGCCUCUGCACUUUUCCUCCUCGCGCAGAUCACAUCUCUGGGUAUCAACUGCUUUGUGAGGAUGUGCACUAGAGGAAUCCGCCUAUCAGCACGUAGUUUAGGUAAAGUUGUUCCCAAGAAUCCCAAUAUAUUCGAGUCACCUGAGAAGCUUCUAAAACUCCCAUUGCUCAGGCCCCAUCCAAUACUAAUUAAAUCAGAAUCUCUGAGUGUGGAACUCAGGCACCACUAAUUCUAAAAUACCCUGGGUGAUUCCAGGGUGCAGCCAAGUUUCAGAAAAACCGAUAGUGAGGAAAGUCCAGCAGUGCCCAUGCCUAGUGGUGGUGAGCAGCCACCUGCAUAUUAUAGAUCUCAAGGACAUAAAGAUGGUCAAUCUUAGGUCUUCAAACAUGGUCCAGACCUUUGGAUUGUGUUCCAUAUGCAAGGAUGAUACAGUAGGUGCUUUUGCCACAAGCAUCUUCGACGUAGACAUCUUUACCAGGAGCAAUUUUUGCCACAAACAUUUUCACCACCUAACUAAAUGACCGUAAGGCAAUUUUGCUGUAAAAAAAUAAAAUAACGAAAGUAAAAAAGGGACAUUA